GAUGAACGCUGGCGGCGUGCCUAAUACAUGCAAGUCGAGCGAACAGACGAGGAGCUUGCUCCUUCGACGUUAGCGGCGGACGGGUGAGUAACACGCAGGUAACCUACCUAUAAGACUGGGAUAACUUCGGGAAACCGGAGCUAAUACCGGAUAAUAUUUCGAACCGCAUGGUUCGAUAGUGAAAGAUGGCUUUGCUAUCACUUAUAGAUGGACCUGCGCCGUAUUAGCUAGUUGGUAAGGUAACGGCUCACCAAGGCAACGAUGCGUAGCCGACCUGAGAGGGUGAUCGGCCACACUGGAACUGAGACACGGUCCAGACUCCUACGGGAGGCAGCAGUAGGGAAUCUUCCGCAAUGGGCGAAAGCCUGACGGAGCAACGCCGCGUGAGUGAUGAAGGUCUUCGGAUCGUAAAACUCUGUUAUUAGGGAAGAACAAACGUGUAAGUAACUGUGCACGUCUUGACGGUACCUAAUCAGAAAGCCACGGCUAACUACGUG
rnacentral:rRNA from 1 species